UACGUAGGGGUCGAGCGUUGUCCGGAGUUACUGGGCGUAAAGCGUGCGCAGGCGGCUCAUCGCGCUCGGCGUGAAAGCCCCCGGCUCAACCGGGGAGGGUCGUCGAGGACGGGUGAGCUUGAGGGUAUCAGGGGUUGGUGGAAUGCCUGGUGUAGUGGUGAAAUGCGUAGAGAUCAGGCAGAACACCUGGGGCGAAGGCGGCCAGCUGGGCCGUCCCUGACGCUGAGGCGCGAAGGCGUGGGGAGCGAACGGG
rnacentral:rRNA from 1 species